AUCUUCCAAACUGUUGGCAUUCCGGGUAAUAAGUGUCUAUUGGGACACCGCGACGGUUGUCACGGGCUCGAGGGGAGUACCGGAUCAUGACAGUUCAGCCCCACAAUUUUGUGUGGAUUAUGAGUUUAUGAAACUCAUCUUUGCUACCAUAUUGUCAAGGCAUAGCACUUCCAAUCCUUAAAAAAGGAUUUUCUAAUUCAUUAGUGUGGCUCACCAUUCGAGGUUGUACAAGGAUUCGUUGGACAGCUUUGGUAUGCAACAACCGGGCUGAGGUGGUUGAGCAUUUUGAAGGCUGAUUUGGUAGUUUAACAAAGGAUUCAUCAACUUUUUUUAUUUAGGAAGCACAAGAAAAAGGGGCACCAUAAGACACGGUUUUGGAAGUUGUCUUGCAAGGAAGCACACACACGGUUUUAGUUGCAGAAUUUUGCUUCUAUUUGUGCUUAAUUUCCAACAAAAAAAAUGUAAUUGUUACACAUUUAUUGCUGGAUAUGUGGACAGAAAAAUCAUGAAAUGUUCAUGACUAAAUA